rnacentral:lncRNA from 1 species
GGCCCCGCCCCCGUCAUGGCGCCCGAGGAGAACGCGGGGAGCGAACUCUUGCUGCAGAGUUUCAAGCGCCGCUUCCUGGCAGCGCGCGCCCUGCGCUCCUUCCGCUGGCAGAGCUUAGAAGCAAAGUUAAGAGACUCAUCAGAUUCUGAGCUGCUGCGGGAUAUUUUGCAGAAGACUGUGAAGCAUCCUGUGUGUGUGAAGCACCCGCCGUCAGUCAAGUAUGCCCGGUGCUUUCUCUCAGAACUCAUCAAAAAGCACGAGGCUGUCCACACAGAGCCUUUGGAUGAGCUGUACGAGGUGCUGGUGGAGACCCUGAUGGCCAAGGAGUCCACCCAGGGCCACCGGAGCUAUUUGCUGGCUGGACUGGGAUCAGAUGGGAAGCGGAAGCUCAUCAUGACCAGAAACUGUUUCCCUACAGAGAGCACUUGGAGAUGGCAAAGCUGAACCUCACACUGUAGGACUCACACAUGACUCCAACGGGAUUGUGAGAAUUAAGUCACUCUCGUGGGAAGAAUUUUUAUAUGGGAAAGCGGAUAAAACUUUCAUUGGACUGGAAUGUUUGGAGAAUGUUAAAUUCCAAAUCAGGAACCACAAACUGCGCUCUAAUAAGACAUCGGCUAUCUAAGCAUGUGGGUUCCCCCUUUCUGCCAGCAGUUCUGGUUCUUAAGAAAAUCACCAUAAAUCAGACAUGAAAAUUCUGGCUCCAAAAAUAGCAUUUUCAUUGUGCAAAUAAAAACGUGUGUAUCAAG